GGGGAUGCACCGGAUUCGAUUGCCGGUGAGCGAAAGGAUAAGCAUACCGUAGAGGGAAAGACUACGCAAAAACGAUCCAGCUAAAUAUAAAUGCAGAUAGAAAUGCAAACUACGCUCUUGCAGCGUAACUUCGCUCGUUAGCGAAACGUCGCGCCCGAUUUAUCCGUCGGUCGGGGUCGCGGCGUCAUUAAGACGGAACACUCUUGUUGGUAUCGGAAGGUGUACCGAUAAGAGUAUCCAGCCUUCUGCGCGUUGCAAAGCGUGUUCGUCCGCGUUGCAACGUUAAGAAAUAAUAGACAAACUAAGUAUGUAGAAAGUUUUUUGGCAGCCGCGUAAGACGUGAGUUCAACUCUCACCAUCUCCACCA
rnacentral:tmRNA from 1 species